UUAUAUUUUUAUCAGGAGCCAUGGUAUUUUUGCCACCUAGUCACACCGGUCCCACUGAGUCAACUGAAAAUGGACUCAGUUUUUCUAGUUGAAGUGCCUCUUCUGUCCGGUGUUGUCACCACCGCUCGCCGCCACUGUUACCGCCACCGCAUACCUUCCCUCAUGCUAAUUUCCUGUACUUCCUCUCAUUGGCUCCUGCGGAAUCAACGUUGUACAAAAGACACCGGUGCUGCAUUUUCCGUUUGCUUUGCUUCUACUGCUGAACUAUUCCCAAUGGAUUCGUUUUAUUAUGAAAUAAAUAAAACAAAUUACUCAAUAUGUUGACUGCAUUUUGUGCCUCAUAUGAAGUCAACAAAUGGAGUUUAUACCGUUGGUGACUAUUACCAGAGAGGAUUUUGCAUGUCGUGAAGCCUACUACACAUGUGGAUGAAGCUGCAGUAAACUGGAUAUGGAAGUCAUUAACUCUAUGAAGUCUUGCAGACUUUCAAACAGGUUCAGAAACUUCUGAACAAGACUAACGGGAAUUUGAUUGGCAAAUUAAUGAGCACCACAUCUAUGGUUGUUCAGGAGACCUCCAAUCUGAAAAGAUGCAGUGAUUGCUGCAAACAAAGUUUGGGCGACUACAAGUUGUAAAUGCUGGGGUUAAGCUGGUACCUGAUUUCUUUGAGUUGAAGGUUGAGAUUAUCACAAUAGGAAGAGUGUCGUAAGGGCAAUUCAAAGAAAACGCCAAACCAAAAUUGAAAGAACGAAAAUGAACAGAAAACCCAAACUAGAUAAGUAAUUCUUGCCUGCAGUGUCUACAUAUGCAACCAAUCAAAAGCUUGAUAGUAUUUGAAUAAUUGAAACCACAUUGAGUAGUAUAAAAUUAUCUAAAAUUAUGAGCACAGGUUAAUUUAAUUCUGAUAUUACAAAAAAAAAUAAAGACUAAAAUGACUGUCAUGGGUAGUUUUAUGAGCUAAAUUGGCUAAUAAUUUGGAUGGAUUAAUUUCCGUUUAUUGCUCACAUAUUUGUGCAAAAGUUUUAAGAAAAAAAUUAUUAUUUUAGUGUCGUCACAUGAUAAGUAGUGACUCGUGUAUAAAAACUAUAAGGGAUUUGAUGCAUCCUCAACUGGUUAAUAUUUACCUAUAUGUUAACAUAUAAAAAUAAAUGGCCAACUGUUAUUGUCAAACUUAUCAAUUCUGAUUAGUACAUGAAGAAACAGAUGUCAUAAAUCAUA